rnacentral:rRNA from 1 species
CACGUAGGCGGGAAUUUAAGUCAGAUGUGAAAGACCGGGGCUCAACUCCGGGGUUGCAUUUGAAACUGAAUUUCUUGAGGGCAGGAGAGGAAAGCAGAAUUCCUGGUGUAGCGGUGAAAUGCGUAGAAAUCAGGAGGAAUACCAGUGGCGAAGGCGGCUUUCUGGACUGACCCUGACGCUGAGGUGCGAAAGCGUGGGUAGCAAACAG